rnacentral:rRNA from 1 species
CAGUCGCCGCGGGAAUACGAAGGGUGCAAGCGUUAAUCGGAAUUACUGGGCGUAAAGCGUGCGUAGGCGGUUCGUUAAGUCUGUUGUGAAAGCCCCGGGCUCAACCUGGGAAUGGCAAUGGAUACUGGCGAGCUAGAGUGUGUCAGAGGAUGGUGGAAUUCCCGGUGUAGCGGUGAAAUGCGUAGAGAUCGGGAGGAACAUCAGUGGCGAAGGCGGCCAUCUGGGACAACACUGACGCUGAGGCACGAAAGCGUGGGGAGCAAACAGGAUUAGAUACCCGAGUAGUCCCUGUCUCUUAUAA